rnacentral:rRNA from 1 species
AUUGAACGCUGGCGGCAGGCCUAACACAUGCAAGUCGAGCGGCAGCGGGAAAGUAGCUUGCUACUUUUGCCGGCGAGCGGCGGACAGGUGAGUAAUGCCUGGGAAAUUGCCCAGUCGAGGGGGAUAACAGUUGGAAACGACUGCUAAUACCGCAUACGCCCUACGGGGGAAAGCAGGGGACCUUCGGGCCUUGCGCGAUUGGAUAUGCCCAGGUGGGAUUAGCUAGUUGGUGAGGUAAUGGCUCACCAAGGCGACGAUCCCUAGCUGGUCUGAGAGGAGUAUCAGCCACACUGGAACUGAGACACGGUCCAGACUCCUACGGGAGGCAGCAGUGGGGAAUAUUGCACAAUGGGGGAAACCCUGAUGCAGCCAUGCCGCGUGUGUGAAGAAGGCCUUCGGGUUGUAAAGCACUUUCAGCGAGGAGGAAAGGUUGAUGCCUAAUACGUAUCAACUGUGACGUUAUUCGCAGAAGAAGCACCGGCUAACUCCGUGCCAGCAGCCGCCGCCG